ACACGCUGCAGCUCAGGUACUUAGUGACUCUCAAUCACAUAUUGCUUUGCAUACUUUGAGGGUCGCUCUGUGCCUGUGCCGCCCGUGUUGC
rnacentral:pre_miRNA from 15 species